rnacentral:rRNA from 1 species
CGCCUGGGGAGUACGGCCGCAAGGUUAAAACUCAAAUGAGUUGGCGGGGGCCCGCACAAGCGGUGGAGCAUGUGGUUUAAUUCGACGCAACGCGAAGAACCUUACCUGGCCUUGACAUGCAGAGAACUUUCCAGAGAUGGAUUGGUGCCUUCGGGAACUCUGACACAGGUGCUGCAUGGCCGUCGUCAGCUCGUGUCGUGAGAUGUUGGGUUAAGUCCCGUAACGAGCGCAACCCCUAUCCCUAGUUGCUAGCAGUUCGGCUGAGAACUCUAGGGAGACUGCCGGUGACAAACCGGAGGAAGGUGGGGAUGACGUCAGGUCAUCAUGGCCCUUACGGCCAGGGCUACACACGUGCUACAAUGGUGCGCACAGAGGGCUGCAAACCCGCGAGGGGGAGCCAAUCUCACAAAACGCAUCGUAGUCCGGAUCGCAGUCUGCAACUCGACUGCGUGAAGUCGGAAUCGCUAGUAAUCGUGAAUCAGAAUGUCACGGUGAAUACGUUCCCGGGCCUUGUACACACCGCCCGUCACACCAUGGGAGUGGAUUGCACCAGAAGUGGUUAGUCUAACCUUCGGGAGGACGAUCACCACGGUGUGGUUCAUGACUGGGGUGGAGUCGUAACAAGGUAACCGUA